GUAGAGACAAGGGUAGUUUAGGGAUAGGAGUAGAGACAGGAGGCGCAGCAGUAGCAGAGACAGGAGUAGCAGAGAUAGAUCCAGCAGGGUUAAAGAGGAAGAUAGGAGCAGAAGCAGGAGUAGGGAGCGGGGAGGACGAUACUAGAACUGUUGAUUACUAGAAAAUUAGCUGAUUACUAGAUCAACUGCUGAGUAAUAGAACCUCAACUAAUUAGUAGAACAAUUCAGCUGAUUACUAGAUCAAUUGCUGAUUAAUAGAACAUCAACUAAUUAGUAGAACAAUGCAGCUGAUUACUAGAUCAACUGCUGAUUAAUAGAACAUCAAAUAAUUAGUAGAACAAUUCAGCUGAUUCUUUUAUUCAGCUGAUUACAAGUACUAUUCAGCUGAUUAAUACAUUUACUUUUUUAUUUGUUCUUGAUAAAUGCGGAAAAACAUUUUAAAAAUUCCUACGGGGGGAGGGGGGGGGGGUUACCAUUUAUCGUGUGACUUUUGAUGUUUAAAUAAUGUACUCUCAACCUUUCUUAAAAUAAACACUGAUUGAUAUAUUUUUAUUUUCAAAGUUAAGUCUAGCUUCGAAAUUUUUGCACCGAAAUUGUGAGGUUAAAAUUUCUUUUUCUCCUGAAACGAUUUUUUGUUUGAUUUUUCGAAUUAUCAGGAUCUAAGCUAAAUUCGAGAAAAAGUUUAUAUAUUUAAUGUUCGAUAUUGCAAAUGCAAAUAAAGUAAUUUAUAAAACCAAUAUAAAGACUUAUUAUGAAAUAAGUAAUUGUUUGAUUUAUUCGUUCCGUCUUCAACCUAGUCCAUUUUAUAUAUUAUCUAUUCAUAAUAUUUUAGUUUUUGAACAAAGCUUAAAUAACUGUUGCCCAUUUCCACAGAUUUGAACCUCUUCCCAUAUUAAUUUUAUUAAACCAACUGUAACACUGUCCAGCUAGUCCAACGUAACAUAAAAUCUACAAUUCUAACAAUUAACGAUUUAUCAUAGUCAUGUGAUUAAAAAUCCGUAAUUAGAAAAUCCCGGCCUCAUUUGCAGCAUUAAUUCAAGUGUACAACGUCGUUAUAAAAAUUGGUCUGGUAGAUAGCAGAAAGAACAACUUUAUUAUAAAUAUAGUGUCCCAACAUAUUCUAGAUCGUUUAUAGCUUUAAAUUAAGAUUUAAAAGAAAGUCAGAAAAUAAAGAAUAAAUUAAUCAUUUCA